rnacentral:RNase_P_RNA from 1 species
AAACGCAGAGGACCAGAACUUUGGGACGGGAGGCGGGGGUUUUGUUCGCAGGCUCCUUCUUCCCGCUCCUGGUUCUACGCGGCGUGCGCUGUACCACCAUCGGUGGUUAUGGCGCUUACCCCGUGAGGGGGGCUUGGGGAACCGAGUCUAGCGUUGUUAUAAGAAAUCAAUCUUUUGGAUCCAGCCAGGGUCCUCUAGCAGAAAAGGGGGAUGGGGCUCUCUUGGGCUCUCCCCUCCACGCCUGCGGGAUUCUGAUGGGAAUGACAACGGUCGGUCCAUUUGACUUUAUCAUUACGAUGGUUCUAGUCGUGUUAUGGUAAAGGUCUGUUGAGUGCAAUUGUAGAGCAAAUUGAUUCAAUUUGAA